UGGCUUUUGUUGUAAUUCAGCUUCCUUAUAGGCUCUGGUUCGAAUACCACAUCUGCAUCUUUUAUCUCUUAAUUAUGUUUUACUGUUUUUUGACAUGUAUCCAAUUGAAGAGCAAGAUAAGUUUGUGUUGUAGAGUAAAAUUAGAAAGUUCCUCUCUCUAACUUUAGUAAUAGAAAGUUCUCUCCAGUCUUUAGAAACUUUUCUUCGACGUUUCAACAUUUUUUGGCCGGUGACGGGCGUUAAUCCGACGCUGGUACCAUGCUGUAUAUAUUUCUCGGAUGAAUAACUCUGUGUAUAUCUCUUCCCGUUUAUCGGAUUUGCAACUCCGACUUAGUUCGGUUUUAUCUUAAGUUCUAUUUUGUUUUUGUAUCUUUUUCUUCUGCAAGUUCUUCAAUCUCUUUCAGAGGAGAUAAUCCCAAGUGAUAUUCGUCUUCCAUGAACCAUUGGUUUGCUCGAUUCCUUGCUGGAGCAUCGUAAUUUCUUCAUAUCCCAUGUUGGGGCCGUAGAUCGGCUUUGGAUGAAGGUUUUUGUUCGGUGUGAGAGUCGUGAUGAUUGACAUGUGUCAACUGGCUUAAUUUGAACAGUUCCGGAGAGCGUGUUUUGCGAUGGUGUUGAUUAUCGGGCUUUGUUGUAUUUGUCCGUAACUCAUGGAUCUGGUGGAUUUGCGGAUUUCUGAUCCAUUCUACUUGGUGAAAAUUGCAGAAGUUAGAUGGUGAAGCGCAGCGGUGAGAUUCAUGUAGCCACGUAUUUGACACGUGUAGCCACGUGUUUUGGUUGUAAUUUUAAUCUUUGAGUUACAAAUGGGCUUAUCUGGGUUUGUACUGGAUUACAACUUCACCAUGUAAUUCUGGCUUUUGAAAAAUGGACAAAAAAAAAGAAAAAGAUAAGUAUCCAAUUGAAAAUUAAAAAGAUCUAAUUUCCUUUUUCUUUUUUUUUGUGGAGGCCAUUGAAGACGUCAUGGCGAGAAUUGUCAUCUUCUUCUCUCCUUCCAUUCUUCGUCACCAGAUUUCUGUUAUUUUGUCUUCCUAUUCAUUUGUUUUUUUAAUUCUUCUAUGAAUCUUUGAUUUCUCCUUUUACUUUUACUAAAAAUUAUUUGUGUUUUUACAAAAAUUUCUGUUGUUUAAAACAUAAAAUUUAUUAUUGGGUUUUAAUGCUCUCUGGUGC
rnacentral:lncRNA from 1 species